rnacentral:lncRNA from 1 species
GGAACCUUGAAGGUGGCCAGGGUCAUCUCAGCAGACUGAAAACUGAUUGAAGCCUCAGAGGAGGUAAUAAUACUUUCUCAUUCUUCCCUCAUUUAAUCUUGACAAACUAGCUGUAACUCACUGUGGAUUAGCAAUGCACAAUCUGGCAUGGUAGGACAAACAAGGUUUAAACUGUGUCUUUAAACUUCAUUAAGGGUUUUCCAUUCCCAUAUGAUUGGAAAGAUUUUUGUUUGGAUCUGAACUGCAGUAAAAGCUGGGUCAUUGGGUUAAUGGACAAUUAAUCUAUAAAUCCAUUAAGUUAUGAUAACGAUGUGGAAUAUAUUUUUAAAUCUGAACGGAUUUAGUGUAUGCUGUUUUCCCUUCUUGUCACUUGUUAAGGUAGAACAUACUUUGUUCAUUCCAGUUUAGGAGACAUUUUAACUUCCUAAACAACCAGCAAUACUUUCACUUGACCUUGAUACGAGUUUUCUUCUUAGCUGACUAUGUAAAUCCUUCAGCUGAAUGGUGUGUAUUUGUGAGCAUAUGAAGUAAGCCUCCCUCUGAAAGCGAGUGACUGAUUUUUAUGAGUGUUGAAUGGGUAACCAAAACAGUGUUUCCCUUCCACUCCACACAACUGAACAGGUUUUGCACUCAAGAUAUUUUAAUCAUAUCACUGUCAUACUGUUCCCUUUAUCUAGAAUAAAUAUCAGCCAAAAAUUACUUGAAAAUGAGCCUGCAUUUUGCUCAAAUAAGUUAAUGAAACUUUGUGAACUUUCAAGACUGGGCUGAAUUUCAAGAUUGGAACAAUGCUCAACGCCAGCUUACCAAGGGGCAUGUGUUUUUGUGUGUGUGAUGUGGGGAGACAGAGACACAAAGAGGACUGAAAAUUCAGCAGAUUUUCUGUUUCAGCUGCAGCUCCUGUUUUCCACGCAUGCUGCAACAUGAAGGGAAGAAAAUCUGUCUACAAUUAUAUGCUGGUACAAUUAAAUGCACAAGCUGGCUAGCAUUUCCAUGGAUUGGCUGCAAGUCAGGAAGGCCAUACUGCUUCUUAUCUGCCUGCACUGCUGGGCACCAUUGCAGAGCAUCCAUGUAUUUACUCCUGGCUUUGAGGUGCUGCCUGACUCCUGGUGGUAGUUUUGUGCAUGCUGCUACUGGAUGA